rnacentral:lncRNA from 1 species
UCCCAGUUUGGCUACUACUAGUAGUGUGACCUUGGGCAAGUCUACUUAAAGACAUCUCUAAGCCUCAGUUUCCUCAUCUGUAAAACUAGGGUUUGCAUUGAAUGAUGACUUUUUCAGCUGUCUGCUUUUUGUCUUAAAUGAUAUUAAUGUUCUACCGUAAUACUAAGUAAAAUUAAAAUGGGGGGUUGGGGAGGUGGUUUUGUUUUAAUAUGUCAGUAAAGGCUGUUAAAUGGUUGAAUCCUUUCUAACAGUUUGCAAUGUGAACUUCUAAGCUGCUUUCUCUGUUUUAAGGGCUGCACAAAGAUGUUCAGGGAUAACUCGGCCAUGAGAAAACAUCUGCACACCCACGGUCCCAGAGUCCACGUCUGUGCAGAAUGUGGCAAAGCUUUUGUUGAGAGUUCAAAACUAAAACGACACCAACUGGUUCAUACUGGAGAGAAGCCCUUUCAGUGCACGUUCGAAGGCUGUGGGAAACGCUUUUCACUGGACUUCAAUUUGCGCACACAUGUGCGAAUCCAUACCGGAGACAGGCCCUAUGUGUGCCCCUUCGAUGGUUGUAAUAAGAAGUUUGCUCAGUCAACUAACCUGAAAUCUCACAUCUUAACACAUGCUAAGGCCAAAAACAACCAGUGAAAAGAAGAGAGAAGACCCUUCUCGACCACGGGAAGCAUCUUCCAGAAGUGUGAUUGGGAAUAAAUAUGCCUCUCCUUUGUAUAUUAUUUCUAGGAAGAAUUUUAAAAAUGAAUCCUACACACCUAAGGGACAUGUUUUGAUAAAGUAGUAAAAAUUAAAAAAAAAAAACUUUACUAAGAUGACAUUGCUAAGA